rnacentral:rRNA from 1 species
UACGUAGGGGGCAAGCGUUGUCCGGAAUCAUUGGGCGUAAAGCGCGUGUAGGCGGCUGGGUAAGUCCGCUCUGAAAGCCCGGGGCUCAACCCCGGGAGGCGGGCGGAUACUGUCGGGCUAGAGUCCGGAAGAGGCGAGUGGAAUUCCUGGUGUAGCGGUGAAAUGCGCAGAUAUCAGGAGGAACACCGAUGGCGAAGGCAGCUCGCUGGGACGGUACUGACGCUGAGGCGCGAAAGCGUGGGGAGCAAACAGG